rnacentral:tRNA from 1 species
CCCGCCCUUCGCCGGACGAGCGCGCGCCGGGAUCCCGCGGGGAUCCCGGCGCGCGAGGACCGUUCCGCUACGGCCGGGCGGGC